UGAUGGCUGCGCCUGGGCGAAUGGAGCCUUCGGCAAACAGUGCCUUACCCAGUCCCCUGAUAAGGGGUUACCUCUCAAGCAGGUUUUAUAGCUCUGCCCUUUAUCCACCAUCAGAGAGUGGGCGGGAGAGACCCAGAGAGUACAAAAUAUCCUGAAGCUGUUGGAAUAACCUUUAUGGUUUGUUUUAUAUAAACCAGAGGUCCGGCGUGGUAUGUGAAAUGGACCACUGAGACUCAGCCCGCAGGACUUUGAUGUUGUGUAGCUAAGGGCCUCUGUUUGGGUUAAUGCUUCAGUGACUGGAUUUCUGAGCAUCUUCUUUAACAGGAGUAAAAGCUCCAGGAUUUAUGCUGACUCUUAGGUAAGGUUUCUCUUCCUGUCUUUGUUUGCCUUUUCCUGGAAACUGAGUCCACAUACGUCCAGGGUUAGACAGUGUUUUAUAACUGGAAGUUGUUUUUGAAGGAUAGCUUUAAAAAUAAUAAUAAUAAUAAUAAAAUAAAUAAAACUGGAAGGCCUCUUAGAGACCAUCCAGCCCUUGCAUUCCCCAGAUGGCAAACUGAGGCACAGAGACAGAAAGGAAGGCCCCACACUAUUGUGAUCUGUCAUUGUGCACCCUCACAGCCUGGAGCUAUGUAGUUGGUGCCUGGAAUGUCUGUCCCUGUUGGGAAACAGCCGAGGCCUUAUUCAUCUUUUCUUACUUGGUUAAUCCCCACUCCACGGAUACAUCACAUAGUCAGGGCCCAAAGACACAGGAAACGGUGAGGAGAAUGAGGAUGUACAAGUCCCAAAACAGGAUGGCACCCUUACCUGGGCGGUUUGGCUUACUCUGUAUGUGAAAGACUUGGUUGGUCCAUGUUCAGACUGAGCCCAGCACUCUCCAUGGCUGGGUCUGGUCCUUGGCUGACAACUCACCUCCCAACCCUCUGAACUCUAAGGGGGAAGGCUUCGAGAGCCAUUGGUAGGUAGGUUCAGAGCAAAGUCAUUCUUACCUAGGGUAAGGACCCCCUUCAUUCAGGUCUCUGCCCAAGUGUCACCUCUCCCAAGAGGCCUUCCAUGACACCCUGUCUCAAAUAGGAGUUCAUAUCACUUGCCAUCUUCACACUCUCUGCUUAAUUCUUCAUUUCUUACCACCUCUCGUGUAUUUAUUUGUUCAUCUUCUGUAUUCCUUUUCUAGAAUAUAUGUUCUCUGAGAGUCUGUUUUGUUCGCUGCUGUAUCCCCAGCACCUAGAGAUGUACGUGGCAUGUUCUCUGUGAGCAGGGAAAGGAGACAUAGUAAGACUUGGGGAGCAACUGGGAGGAACUGGGUUCAGGGAGAGUGUGAACACCCCUUUCCAAACCAGCUUAAAUAAAUCUGAAUGUAGACUGUGUGUGAAUAGGGCUUCUUCAAAGGGUUCAUCUGUGAUUCUUUCAAAAAUUCCCAGGCUUGGUAUGAGGCCCUGGCAUCUGAAGUCAAGGGUUUUGAUUCCCCAGUGGUCUAACCUGCAUAUCCCAAGGGGCCUCUGCUCCUUUGAGGCUCAUUAUCCUCCCCAUCUGGCAGGAUGGGGCCCUUGGCGGGAUGGAGCCCAGUCCCAGGAGAAGGUGUGCCUCAGUUACAGAGCCAUCUCCAUGGCUGCCUGCCAGCACUUUUCCCAUCUGGUUGGCAGAUCAGAGAGAGAAAGAGAAUGUGGGAGCUGGAGGAGCCCCGGGCCAUCUGGUCCAUUCCCACCUAAGGACACAUAGCAAGGCACUGGCAGAUGCCUGCUUUUAAAAAAAAAAAGUUUAUUUUUUACUAUUGCUGAUGUUCUGAUGCUCCCUCCCUCCUACAGCCUCCCCUACAAAAAAAGAAAAAAUGCCCCAAAGCUUAGCAAGGACCCCCUAGGGCUUGCUCCAGCAGAUUGGCCCUCUUGAGCCUUGUAGCCCCGAGAAGUUCAUUCAUCUUCAGAAAUGUGCCCAGUGAGACAAAGGGGGUUUCUGGCCAGAGAGAGUGGCUCAAAAGAGUCAGGCAUUUCCCAGGUUUGUAUUCCUUGGAAUUCUGGCUCUUUGAGUUUUUAAUGCGUGUUCUAUCUCUCUCCUCAAAAGAGCUGUAAGGUCAAGUAGCAUACAAAAUGCUGCCUGCCAUAAAAACUCUUGGAGAGAUACAAUGGACUUUAGCAUAGUAAAGGCUCUGAGAAGUUCUGUAGUUAAAAACAAACAGCAGCACUUUUUGUAUAAUUCAGAGUUUCCCACCCUUGUCUGACCACAGAACUCUUUUUGCAUGAAAAACUACUAGACUCUCACAGAGCUCAUCUUCCUCCAGCCACAGACCCACCGUAUCACUGAAGGCAGUAUCCAACUUUUACUUUUUAUUUCAUACAGUCCUGGUUUUUCCUUACUUUAGUAGUACAAUAUAUUGAAAAAAAUAUGACAUACAGGCCUUCUCUAAAGGGGUGGGGGUUAAGGCCCUCCAGCCAAAAUUUUAUUUCUUCUAACCAGAAAGACAACUUCAUGAAGACAUCUCCCUUUCUUUAUAUCCUUGUGACUCUUUGUUGUCCCAAGAGCCUACAGGCUCUUUCCAUUUUGUGAGUACAGCAAAACACAUCCUCUAUACAAAUGGCUUUCAGAACAGGCCAGAAGGAAUUCGCCAUUAGGAAAAUCCAUCAGCGAUGCUCACAUAGCAUGAGAGAGAGUACCCAUCCACUAAGUGGAUUUGAAUCCUGCCAGCACCCGGAAACAUCACUUAAUCUAGCUGUAUAUUUCCCCACCUGUAAAAUGAAGUGCUCAUAGUACCUGCCUAAAAGUUGUUUUGAGGAUUACAUGGGAUCCAUGUUUAACAUUUAGAAUGAUGUCCAGUGCAAAGCCAAUACUUAUGAACACUUAUCUAUUACUAUUAUUAUCAUAGAAUGAGAGCUGUAUGUUGACAGCAACUUUGUUUUGUUCACUGCUGUGCUCCUAGUGUCCAGAUAAGGACUGGCACAAACUAGAUGCUUAGUAAAGAUGGGUUGAGUGAAUGAGUGAGCAAUACAGUAAGUGGAGGGUCUUCCAUGUAUAGAGAACACCCACAUUUCUGAGCGUCAGAUUGCAGCAGAGUGGGCACCAGGUUAAAAGUGAGUGGCUUGCCGCAGGGCGAGGCUUUGCUUCCUCUUCCCUUCCCACUCUGUGUAUGAAUGAGAAGCCAGCACUUAGGAGACGCACCUCACGGUGUGGAACUCAGAAGCAGAGCGUGAGGUGGUUUCCUGGAAGGUGACAGUGUCAUCUGAAUGUUUCAGACCUCGAGGUUCCAAGCCCUGUGGAUUUCUAUUCCUGGUUACUAUACACAGGUCUGUGCCUGCUCAGCCAGAGAGUUGCCAGUGUGAGUGCCAUCCGCCCUUGGAGUCUCCCGGGGAAGAUGCUGCCUUCGGAGCUGUCUUCGGAGCCGCCUUUGAAGCAGUAAUGGCCCUAGCUGUCAAAGGGGGACUGAGAGCCCCUUGGCCACCUUGACACUCUUGUUCACCACAGGCUCCGUGACCCCUCUUCUGCGGGUUGGCACCAUGGAAUGGCAUGCGAACCCUUGGCCUGCUGGUGUUGAUUUUACCCUCUCCUAAGGAAACAUAACGGAGGCACUGGACCAAAAUAAGCAGCCCAGACGCUGUGCUGUCCCAGCUCUGCUGGGAAGUGUGGUAUUGAUUUGCCCCCAGCCUCUCUUUGCCUUCGUGACCUAAACUCUGCGUGGGGCUCCAGAGCUGGGAGGUUGAUUCCACUCCAUUUCAUGGCAGUUGUGUUCACCCAGCAACCCACACGGACAUUGUUUAUAUUCCUAAAGGAGCCAGAGUUUGCCCAGAUUUAGGUGGUGCUCGCAGUGGAGUGCCUGCUGUUUUCCAUGGGACUUUGGUGCAGCUGUGGAGUGUGCCCUGCUCCCCUGGGCCUCACUGGACAGUCUUUCACUGCUGCCUGGUGUGUGGGCUGCAGCCUUUGCUGGCAUCACCGGCCCGUCCUGGAGCUAAGAGAGUGACCGAGCCUUGUCGCUAGCCACUUGCCUGUUGGAUUGAGAUGCAUGUGCAGUGAUUUUGGCAGGAGAUAAGAUAUUAUUCAUUUGCCAUGUGUGGAUCUCAUGGCUCUGUGUAAAAUAGGAAGGGAAAGUUGGUAAAAUACAGGUAUUUUAUGUACGUGACUUUGGUCUUUCUCAUUUGAAAUUAUCACAAGGGGAACCAAGGCUCCCCUGUUUUCACCGAGAUGGUGACUGUCAGUCAUAGCUCUUUAUGACAUGAGGAGUCUAGGCGUCAGUCUCAAGGUAAGGAUUCUGUCAGCCCAGGUCUCCUCUUGAGUUCAGGCAGUCAUUCUUGGUUCUACUUCUUAGGUAAAGAGGAAAUAAUGUUCCCCUCUCAUUGCUUCCCAGAUCUUUCCUGAAGCUUUGGUCUUUGCUGGCAAAUCCACAUUGAUCUACCUUGGGGAGAAGAAAUGAGCGGUGCAGGCGAUUCUGGCUAUAGUUUAAAAUCACAGAAUCAAACCUUAGGCUUGACUUUCAAAAUAGGAUGUGUUAGAGAAAAGAGAGCUUGGGUUAAAUUGUAUCUUUUCUAUUCCCUACCUAAAACAGAGAGAGAGAGAGAGAGAGAGAGAGAGAGAGAGAGACAGACAGACAGACAGACAGACAGA